CGUGUCAGUUUGUCACUCACUGGGUUGGCGUAAUAACAUGUUAAAUUACUUAAGACGUAUUGGCUCGAAUCUAGGUUGUGCCUUUAGAUUUCGAGAAAAUCAGCAAAUAAGGAAGAAUGUUUCACUUCUCUUUGACUAUUCUAAACCCAAACACCGGCCAGGUCUGCUUCGUAAGCGUUCCCGGAAGUCUCAAGAUGUUGCGCCUUUGGGUUUAGAAACUGGUAUAACUACACCCAGAUGGUGUGUAUGGCAUGCCAGUGCAUGCUCAUUGUUUGUGUUGGAGUUGUACCAGAAUACCACAUUGAACAAGGUGACCAUACCAACCAUGAGGAGUUCAUCAAACACGUUACAUUUACAGAGGACGUCAACUCUCGUGACGGAGGCUUACAAGGUCAGUUUGGCAGGCUCUUUGUUCUUCGCUGGGGUUUGGUUGGUAAUGUUUGUUUGGACCCCUCUUUGACAAGAUUGGAAGGAAACCAGUCUUCCUAACAGCUCUGUUCUUCGAUGUCUUGUUUUGGUUAUGCCACAGCCUUUGCUCCCAGCUAUGAGGCGUUUGCAUUGUCCUGCCUGCUAAUGGGUCACAUGAAUGGGGGAAUGUCCCUCGUCUGUUUCGUGCUUACCCAGGAGUAUGUGGGCAAGGCCUACUGGGCCAUGACAGAGACCUUGACUGAUAUGACCUUUGCAUUAAAGGCUUGACUGACACCUUUCCCAAUACAUUUGGCCCCAUAUGUGAGACUGCAGUUUGCUGAUGGAACAAAUGGCAAGAUGCCCUUUUCGUCACCUGUCUUUGUCUUGUUCCUGUUUUUUGGGCUGAGGCAGGAUUCUCCCGGAGUCUCCCCGCUGGCUGUAUUCCCGUGAUUACACGGAGCAGGCGGAGGAGGUUCUGUAGUACAAGGCCGUGAGGAAUGGGAACGGCAACGCCAAAGUGAAGCUUCGCAGGUGUCCUGGCUUCGUCAAGACGUAACCAGGACAACGAUGGCCCUGGCCUCCUCGGUCUCGUCACCCACCUAGUGCUCCGCUGGAGGACCGUGGUGUCAUGUAUGUCUGGUGAGCGUACAGACCAUAACCUGAACCACUGGGAAACCACAAAGGGACUCGCUUUUUGCCAUGCCAUUACCAGCGCAUGGACAGUGUCAACAGCUCACGAUGAUGCUUUUCGGUUCAGUAUACAUUGUUUUAAAGACCUUUCACACUGAAGACGGCAAACAUGAAUGACCUUAAAUUGACGCUGUCUCUGGAUGUGCUUUCCGUAUUCCUGCAGCCUGGUGUACUAUGGGCUCAUCAUGAACGCCUGUGAGGACGGUGGGAACCGCUACUUCAGUGUUGCCAUGUAUGAAUUGGUGGAGCUCCCGGCCUACCCUCUCUGUAUCCAUUUCAUAAACAAGCAGUGGGACUGUGUUCAAUGCUACCUCUUUAGCUUUGUUAGGAAAGCUGUUGGUCAGUGCGUCAGUGUACGUCUACACUACUGAACUGUAACCCACUGUUAUAAGGUGAGUGCAGUGCAGACAGAGCCCACUAACAGAUCCCACAAAAUUACUUUUAUAAAGUACAGUAGAGGGCGCUGUUCUUUAAUUUUGGCUUCAAUGAGCUUCUGUAUUUCAAUUUAAGUUCUCACAAUGCAGUAUGGUUUUGUACAGUAUGUUGAAGAGGUGUUUAAGAAAAUGUUCCGUGCUUUUUCUUGAUGUCAGGAACGCUGGUCUUGGGGUCUGCUCAAUGUCCUGCAGAGUCUGAGGGAUCCUGGCCCCUUUUGUGCCCUCUACGGUACGUCGGCAGAAUAUAAUUAAUAUGAUGAUGGACAAAGAAAUCAUCAGGAUUGUAGUUUAUCAAGUACAAGGACCACUUUGGGCUUUCUGUAAGUGUUCAAAUUGUGGUAAAUAGAAGUUUUGCCUUCUGUCAGAUUAUAUGGUAUUCACUUGAGCUCCUGAAGCUUGUGCUGCACUUGGUUUGCGGGCAGUAGAUAGCCUAGCGGUUAAGAGCGUAGGGACAGUAACCGAAAGGUCUCGGGUUCGAAUCCCCGAACCAUAUUGGGUUAGUUACGCCCUAGCCUCGGACGCCGGGCUUAUCACGUAGUUUGAAGACCUGGGGAAGUUCUCCUCAGGAGGAAGAUAAAAAGGAGUGGAGUAUGGCAGGGCUUGCCACACAAAACCAAUCACAUAUUUUGUAUUGGUGGAGCUCCGAACAGGGUUUGUGUUUCUGAAAUGUUUUCUGAUUUUCAACAGGCUAGCAACCAUAAGAUACAAAACUAAUGUUGCAAAGACUACACAAACUUUGUCUGACACGGUAGGAAAAGAGACACAGACAAAAUCGAGAGAAAAACAAAGACGAAAAAAAAGGAAAUGCCUCUUCUGAGGGGAAAUGUAAUUUCUACUCAGAGCCAAUCAAAUACAAGCGCUGAAAACAAUACUGAAGUUCUCCAGAAUUCCAAUAGUCGAGACGGGACGAGAAGGAUGGUCAUGCAUGACUAGUUACGCCCUAUCCAAAUGUACAUUUACAAUGCUCUUAAAAAGGACAAUGCUUAACAUUCUGUAUCUUGGGGGGUUGGCUUGUGUUCCCUUUUACAGACACUUUUGUUUGAAGAGGACCAAUUGAAAACGAGCCACAAACGAAAUCAGUGACUGACUCUGAACGCGAAAACACUCUGACGAAAGGGACUAUCGAAGCCUGUUCACACACGAGUGCUUUCUCACAACAUAUCAGAUUUCCUCUUGUUUCCAUGGUGAAGCAAGGACAGGGCUAGCUACAUGCCGUGAUGGAUGGUGGACCAUUUUACAGGGAACAGCACACAUGUUUUGAAUGUUUUCAUGUUAUUUUGUUUCUGUGUGGGGGUUGUGUGAUACGUUUUGUACUGUACAAUGAAAUGUGAAGUGCCUUCUAAAAUCGCUGUUUAGCAACAGUGAAUAUAUCAUGUCAAAUGGGAUUAUAAAGCAACAGUUAAUAAUGUGAUAUCAAAUGGAAGAGAAUUACAAUUACUGUCAAAGGUUCUCUGUUUCUAAGAAUUUGAAGCCUGUAGUUUAAAUGGUUUGUUUCAUGAUGUUGGGCGAUUAGGCCUGGCUCGCAAUCAGAGUUUCAAUUCAUCCCAAAGGUGUUCGAUGGAGUUGAGGUCAGGGCUCUGU